UGGUAAAAAGCCUAUCCAUUUUUCUGUUAAAAACUAGUGUAACUAAUAAAAUAAUCAAACAAUUACACGUGACAUACUAUGUGUACCUCAUUUUAGUGCACAAAAACUAGUUUUUAACCGUAAAAAUGGAUAAAAUUUUUAAUU
rfam:Gossypium hirsutum cultivar TM-1 chromosome 7, whole genome shotgun sequence